AACGAACGCUGGCGGCAUGCCUAACACAUGCAAGUCGAACGAGACCUUCGGGUCUAUUGGCGCACGGGCGCGUAACGCGUGGGAACCUGCCCUUAGGUUCGGAAUAACUCCCCGAAAGGGGUGCUAAUACCGGAUAAUGUCUUCGGACCAAAGAUUUCUCGCCUUGGGGUGGGCCCGGGUUGGAUUAGCUAGUUGGUAGGGUAAAAGCCUACCAAGGCGACGAUCCAUAGCUGGUCGGAGAGGAUGCUCCGCCACACUGGGACUGCGACCCGGCCCAGACUCCGACGGGAAGCAGCAGUGGGGUAUAUUGGACGAUGGGCGAAAGCCUGAUCCAGCAAUGCCGCGUGAGUGAUGAAGGCCUUAGGGUUGUAAAGCUCUUUUACCCGGGAUGAUAAUGACAGUACCGGGAGAAUAAGCACCGGCUAACUACGUG
rnacentral:rRNA from 1 species